rnacentral:rRNA from 1 species
CCUACGGGUGGCAGCAGUGGGGAAUAUUGGGCAAUGGGCGCAAGCCUGACCCAGCAACGCCGCGUGAAGGAAGAAGGCUUUCGGGUUGUAAACUUCUUUUGUCAGGGAAGAGUAGCAGACUGUACCUGACGAAUAAGCCACGGCUAACUACGUGCCAGCAGCCGCGGUAAUACGUAGGUGGCAAGCGUUGUACGGAUUUACUGGGUGUAAAGGGCGUGUAGCCGGGUUGACAAGUCAGAUGUGAAAUCCUGCGGCUUAACCGCAGAACUGCAUUUGAAACUGUUGAUCUUGAGUACGGGGGAGGCAGGUGGAAUUCAUAGUGUAGCGGUGAAAUGCGUAGAUAUUAGGAGGAACACCAGUGGCGAAGGCGGUCUGCUGGACAGCAACUGACGGUGAGGCGCGAAAGCGUGGGGAGCAAACAGGAUUAGAUACCCUGGUAGUC